rnacentral:rRNA from 1 species
CUGGCUCAGGAUGAACGCUGGCGGCGUGCUUAACACAUGCAAGUCGAACGAAGCACCUCUAAUCGAAGAUUGAGAAGCUUGCUUUGAUUGAUUCACCUUGAGGUGACUGAGUGGCGGACGGGUGAGUAACGCGUGGGUAACCUACCCUAUACAGGGGGAUAACAGUUGGAAACGACUGCUAAUACCGCAUAAGCGCACAGGACCGCAUGGUCUAGUGUGAAAAAACUCCGGUGGUAUAGGAUGGACCCGCGUCUGAUUAGCUAGUUGGUGAGGUAACGGCUCACCAAGGCGACGAUCAGUAGCCGACCUGAGAGGGUGACCGGCCACAUUGGGACUGAGACACGGCCCAAACUCCUACGGGAGGCAGCAGUGGGGAAUAUUGCACAAUGGGCGAAAGCCUGAUGCAGCGACGCCGCGUGAACGAAGAAGUAUUUCGGUAUGUAAAGUUCUAUCAGCAGGGAAGAAAAAUGACGGUACCUGACUAAGAAGCUCCGGCUAAAUACGUGCCAGCAGCCGC